CCGGGUCGCUGAGUGUAUGCUGCCCAGGCGCCUGUGCGCUGGGGCCAAGAACGUCCUGGGCCCGAAAACAACACUGUUUAGGCACGGACUAACCACCUAAGUGAGGGCACUGAAGCUCCGGGAAAGGCAAGGUCCGCGUCGCGCCGCCCCAGCUCCGGGGCGCCGGAUUGCUGAAAUUCUGAUUUCACUACUCUUGGAUACAUACCUAGAAGUGGGAUUGCUGGAUCAUAUGCCUCCUGGCUACUAUGGGUUGAGCAGCUUUCCUCUGUGUGCCCUUCUGCCAUGCCAGUUCUGCAAGUUGGAGCUUGCUAACUAUGAACUGAAUCCUCUAAAAUUGUGAACCAAAUAAACUUCU